UACGUAGGCAGCGAGCGUUGUUCGGAAUUACUGGGCGUAAAGAGUGUGUAGGCGGUGCUCUAAGUUCGGUGUGAAAUCUCCCGGCUUAACUGGGAGGGUGCGCCGGAAACUGGAGUGCUCGAGCGUGGGAGAGGAAAGCGGAAUUCCUGGUGUAGCGGUGAAAUGCGUAGAUAUCAGGAGGAACACCUGUGGUGUAGACAGCUUACUGGACCAUUUCUGACGCUGAGACACGAAAGCGUGGGUAGCAAACAGG
rnacentral:rRNA from 1 species